AAAAAAACCCCAAAACAAAAACAACAACAACAAAAAAAAAGAAAACAAAAAACCCCAAACCCAAACAAACACAUAAAAAGAAAGGAAAAAAAAACCACAAAAACCAAAAUGUUUUAUAAUCAAAAAUUUUUAAGGUAUAGAGUGGUAAGAUCAAGUAAAGACUGCUGUGCUGCUUCUCCAAAGAAACCAGUUAAGCAUACUGUAAAAUCACUUAUAGCCUGGGCUUACUUUCCAUAUUUUAGUGAUUGACUUCCUAACAUGAGCAAAUGUGGGAUUUUCCAGGCAUGUCACAACAGCACAACCCUUUCCCAGGAAUACCUGGCAAAUAAGUCUGAAAAGGGGUGAGGCCACAUUCUGAGACAAAAAUUCUGGGUAAGGAUGGUUUGCAGACACUUGGGUAUGCCUGCCUUAAACCUCACUCAUUCACUGACAGCUGUGUUCUGUUGUGAUAUUCCUGGGGACUAUCAGCUCUACAUGCUUUUCCUAGCUCUGAUACCCUGAAAAAUAAAUGCAGCUGAAAGGGGAGGACACCCACAAUGGCCAAGAGGCCAUGAUGCAAACUUCUCUCAUAUGAGACAACCAAGAAUCACAGCAAGGUUGAUUUUGGUGGGAAACACAAGACAAUCCCUGGGGACUUAAUGUCCUUCAGGAGGUGGCUGCACUGCUUGCUUUGCCCUGUGUCUCAUGGUGCCAGCCCUUGCCUGGGGCAUGGGAGUGUGUGUACACCUGUGAUGGAGCUGAUGGGGGCAGAGCAGGCUGAGCUCUGCUCUGUUGUGGCCCAUGGCUCAUCUCAGUCGUGGUAAACACCUUCCUUUGACUUUCAUAGUCCAGCUGCAUCAUGGUGUUGCUGGCAGAAGACAGAAUAAGCCUUUGAUAUUGAAAAAGAAAGAAGGUGCUGUGAAACUGUGUCUCAAGGGCCAUUAGACAAAUUUAUCUAAACUUGCUAUUUUGGAUAUUGCUGGGUGGUUUAUUGCUGCAUUUAAGCCAGACAGCUCUCCCAGACUUCUGGUGAGCAUUGGAGAGCCUUCCUACCCUCUAGCAGCUCCACACUGCCACCCAAAUUGAUGUCAUUGCAGAGUGACUGAAGGUGCUCUCAAUCCCCUCAUCCAGAUCCUUGAUAAAGAUAUUAAACAGGACUGGCCUCAACACAAGCCUGGAUCACCACUUGCAACCAGCCACCAGCUGGAGUAACUGCAUCCAUCACCACCCUCUGGGCCUGGCCAUCCAGCCACAGCUUUACCUAUGGAACAAUGACCAAGACAAGGCACAGCAGUACUGGGGAGGCAGUGGUGUUGCUGAGCAUAUGCUAAGAGUAGGGUGCCAGCAGGUUUAGCUCUGCCCUGGCCAGCAGCUGGCAUAACAGAAUCCUGGACCUCUACAGCUCUCUGAACUUCCACGAGAGACACAUUGAUGAAUAAUGAGAUGUGACUGUCUGUGAAAUGGUUUGCAACACUGCUGCAAGGAACAUUUCUGGGAUGAAUUCUACACGAGGCCACUGAAGAAUAAAAUAGCCGACCCUCUCUUAGCUGUACUCAUCAGCAUCAAGGUUGCAGCAAGUCAGGUGGAGCAUCUUCUUGAUCCUCUGCAUCUUCUGGAAGGAGAAGAAAGAGAGCAGCAAGCAGCCUGGCACAGGGCAGGGUAUGGCUUCUUGAAAGUGGGCAUUGCACUCAGGAGCUGCAAGCGAGCAAGCACAGAGGUGUGUGAAGCUGGGAGUGUUGGAUGUCAGCCCCUUCCAGUGGGUAAGGGGCUGGAUUUCUACAUCUCUGGUGGAAGGAGAAGCUCAGAACUGAGCUGGACUCACAAGUGCUUGGGGGCCAUGUGGUUAUGCCUGAAGCAGUGCAGCAGCUGUGAUUCACCACGACACAGAGCCCAGCUGCUGCAGAUUGAUGUCACUGGCAGCAGAGGGAAUGUCACCAGUUAUGUGAUGCCCACAAAGUGUUAUUUAUUUUCUUUAUUUUUGUUGUGGUUUUUUUUCAGCAUGCCCCAUAAUGUUGACAUUUAUGGAGAGGUGAAAUAAAAUAUAUUUGAUCAAA